rnacentral:rRNA from 1 species
UACGUAGGGGGCGAGCGUUGUCCGGAUUUAUUGGGCGUAAAGAGCGUGUAGGCGGCCAGGUAGGUCUGCUGUGAAAACUCGAGGCUCAACCUCGAGACGUCGGCGGAAACCAUCUGGCUAGAGUCCGGAAGAGGAGAGUGGAAUUCCUGGUGUAGCGGUGAAAUGCGCAGAUAUCAGGAAGAACACCCGUGGCGAAGGCGGCUCUCUGGGACGGUACUGACGCUGAGACGCGAAAGCGUGGGGAGCGAACAGGAUUAGAACUCCCAG